rnacentral:rRNA from 1 species
AGAAUCGACGCUGGCGGCGUGCCUAACACAUGCAAGUCGAACGCGAAAGCCCCGCAAGGGGCAAGUAGAGUGGCAAACGGGUGAGUAACACGUGGGUGACCUGCCUUCGAGCGGGGGAUAACGUCCCGAAAGGGACGCUAAUACCGCAUAACAUCCUGCCUUUGAAGAGGUGGAGAUCAAAGCUGGGGAUCGCAAGACCCGGCACUUGAAGAGGGGCCCGCGCCUGAUUAGCUAGUUGGUGGGGUAAUGGCCUACCAAGGCAACGAUCAGUA